AGCAGCCGCGGUAAUUCCAGCUCCAAUAGCGUAUAUUAAAGUUGUUGCAGUUAAAAAGCUCGUAGUUGAAUUUCGGGGUUAGUAGGUUGGUCGUGCCACUGGUAUGUACUGGUCUCACUGAUUCCUCCUUCCUGAUGAACCGUAAUGCCAUUAAUUUGGUGUUGCGGGGAAUCUGGACUGUUACUUUGAAAAAAAUUAGAGUGUUUAAAGCAGGCUAACGCUUGAAUACAUUAGCAUGGAAUAAUGAAAUAGGACGACCGAUCCUAUUUUGUUGGUUUCUAGGAUUGACGUAAUGAUUAAUAGGGAUAGUUGGGGGCAUUAGUAUUCAAUUGUCAGAGGUGAAAUUCUUGGAUUUAUUGAAGACUAACUACUGCGAAAGCAUUUGCCAAGGAUGUUUUCAUUAAUCAAGAACGAAAGUUAGGGGAUCGAAGACGAUCAGAUACCGUCGUAGUCUUAACCAUAAACUAUGCCGACUAGGGAUCGGAUGAUGUUAAUUUUUUAAUGACUCAUUCGGCGCCUU
rnacentral:rRNA from 1 species